CACGGAAUUAGCCGGUCCUUAUUCAUACGAUACAUGCAAUAACGCACACGUGCAUCAAUUUAUUCUCGUAUAAAAGCAGUUUACAACCCAUAGGGCCGUCUUCCUGCACGCUACUUGGCUGGUUCAGGCUUGCGCCCAUUGACCAAUAUUCCUCACUGCUGCCUCCCGUAGGAGUUUGGACCGUGUCUCAGUUCCAAUGUGGGGGACCUUCCUCUCAGAACCCCUACUGAUCGUUGCCUUGGUGAGCCGUUACCUCACCAACAAGCUAAUCAGACGCAUCCCCAUCCUUUACCGAUAAAUCUUUAUUCAUAUCUGAUGCCAUCAACGAAUUACAUCGGGUAUUAGGCCGUCUUUCAACGGGGUAUCCCCAAGUAAAGGGCAGGUUGGAUACGCGAUACUCACCCGUGCGCCGGUCGACGUCCAAAAUGUGCAAGCACAUAAUGCCGUUUCCCCUCGACUUGCAUGUGUUAAGCCUAUAGCUAGCGUUCAUCCUGAGCCA
rnacentral:rRNA from 1 species